AGGAAUAUUAUGCAAAGAACAAAAGCUUCUAACUUUUUUUCAAGCGGUUAAAUUCCGUUUAUAUUCCUA
rnacentral:tRNA from 1 species